rnacentral:rRNA from 1 species
GACGAACGCUGGCGGCGCGCUUAACACAUGCAAGUCGAGCGAGAACCGAGGCUUCGGCCUCGGGGACAGCGGCGAACGGGUGAGUAACACGUGGGUAAUCUGCCCUCGACACCGGAAUAGCCCGGGGAAACCCGGAUUAAUGCCGGAUGGCCCGCCCGCCUUUCGAGGCGGUCGGAAAAGGUAGCUUUGGCCUCCGGUCGAGGAUGAGCCCGCGGCGGAUUAGCUUGUUGGCGGGGUAACGGCCCACCAAGGCGACGAUCCGUAGCUGGUCUGAGAGGACGAGCAGCCACACUGGGACUGAGACACGGCCCAGACUCCUACGGGAGGCAGCAGUGGGGAAUCUUGCGCAAUGGGCGAAAGCCUGACGCAGCGACGCCGCGUGCGGGAAGAAGGCCUUAGGGUUGUAAACCGCUUUCAGGAGGGACGAAGCCACUCGGGUUAAUAGCCCAGAGGGUGACGGUACCUCCAGAAGAAGCCCCGGCUAACUACGUGCCAGCCGCCGCCGUAAAAC